rnacentral:rRNA from 1 species
AUUGAACGCUGGCGGCAGGCCUAACACAUGCAAGUCGAGCGUAUUAAGUGAGCUUGCUCCUUGAUUCAGCGGCGUACGGGUGAGUAAUGCCUAGGAAUCUUCCUGGUAGUGUGGAAUAACGUCCGGAAACGGGCGCUAAUACCGCAUACGUCCUGACUUCGAACGUGGGGGAUCUUCGGACCUCACGCUAUCACAUGAGCCUAGGUCUGAUUAGCUAGUUGGUGGGGUAAAGGCAUACCAAGGCGACGAUCCGUAACUGGUCUGAGAGGAUGAUCAGUCACACUGGAACUGAGACAAGGUCCAGACUCCUACGGGAGGCAGCAGUGGGGAAUAUUGGACAAUGGGCGCAAGCCUGAUCCAGCCAUGCCGCGUGUGUGAAGAAGGUCCUCGGAUUGUAAAGCACUUUCAGUUGGGAGGAAGGGCAGUAAGUUAAUACCUUGCUGUUUUGACGUUACCAACAGAAUAAGCUCCGGCUAACUUCGUG